AUCAACUUUCGAUGGUAGGAUAGAGGCCUACCAUGGUGGUAACGGGUAACGGGGUGUUAGGGCACGACACCGGAGAGGGAGCCUGAGAAACGGCUACCACAUCCAAGGAUGGCAGCAGGCGCGCAAAUUACCCAAUCCCGACACGGGGAGGUAGUGACAAUAAAUAACAAUACGGGGUUCUUUCGGAUUUCGUAAUUGGAAUGAGUACAAUUUAAAUCUCUUAACGAUCAACAAUUGGAGGGCAAGUCUGGUGCCAGCAGCCGCGGUAAUUCCAGCUCCAAUAGCGUAUAUUAAAGUUGUUGCAGUUAAAAAGCUCGUAGUUGAAUUUCGGGAUCAGUAGGUCGGUCAUGCCUCCGGUAUGUACUGGUCUCACUGGUUCCUCCUUCCUGAUGAACCGUAAUGCCAUUAAUUUGGUGUUGCGGGGAAACUGGACUGUUACUUUGAAAAAAUUAGAGUGUUUAAAGCAGGCUAACGCUUGAAUACAUUAGCAUGGAAUAAUGAAAUAGGACGUUCGAUCCUAUUUUGUUGGUUUCUAGGAUUGACGUAAUGAUUAAUAGGGAUAGUUGGGGGCAUUAGUAUUCAAUUGUCAGAGGUGAAAUUCUUGGAUUUAUUGAAGACUAACUACUGCGAAAGCAUUUGCCAAGGAUGUUUUCAUUAAUCAAGAACGAAAGUUAGGGGAUCGAAGACGAUCAGAUACCGUCGUAGUCUUAACCAUAAACUAUGCCGACUAGGGAUCGGAUGAUGUUAAUUUUUUAAUGACUCAUUCGGCGCCUUACGGGAAACCAAAGUGUUUGGGUUC
rnacentral:rRNA from 1 species